UGGAAUGGUUUUGGAGGGAAGGGACCUAAAGCCCAUCCUGUUCCAACCCCCUGCCACGGGCAGGGCCACUUUCCACUAGACCAGGUUCCUCCAAGCCAGGUCAUUGGCAGCAAUUUCAAAGAGGUACUGAGGAACAAAAGCCCUUGAACAUUUUUAAUGAUGGAUGUUCCCUGUCGGCUGAACAAGGAGCCUUUAAAGUCGGGCUCCCUUUGAUUAGACAAUGGACCCAGAGAGAAAGAAGUGCUUCUCCUCCUCCUUAUCUAUCAUCUGCCCUCCUCCAAUACCCCUCCUGCCCAAGAGGGCUAAAUUUAGAAGCAAAAGCCCAAGAAUUCCAAGCAAGGGGCAGGAGGGGCUGCCUGAGAUCAGAGCAGCAGCCCCACAGACAGGGAUUGUAAUCCACAGUGUCUCCUGAGGGGUUUUAGCAGAGGAUGGGGGACAUCGAGGGGGUUCCUCACCAUCUAUCCCCAAUUUAUCCCUAUACAGGAGCUCUCAUUCUGCUGCACAGAGACAACACAACCCCCCCAUCAUGGCCACAGCCAAGACCAGAGAGGAGAACUUGCCCCUUCCCUUCUCCUCCCUAUAUCUCUUCCAAAGUUCUGCUCCAGAUGAGUUGUUUUAUAGCCCCAGUCUCUCAAAAAGCCAUUUCUCCCCACAAAUCCCAGCCCUGCCAAACUCCUCAGCUCACCCUAGCUUUCAACACACCCGACUGGCUCCAAGGGCACUCAAACCAGUGACGGGAAUGUGACGUCCCUCUCCGGGAGGGACAACACUGGGGGAGCACGAAGAGCCCCCAGCUGCAGCUGACUCCCAAUUAUUCUGCUCUGAAACUGCUCUCUGGUAUUUUUUGGAGUUGUUAACAUCCAUUAAAAGUGUCCUGUUGAGCAGAGCUGGCUGGCAGGGAGCAGGGAGGGUGCAGAACCGCAGCUCUCCCAUUAUGUGAAAGCUGCUCCUUGGACUUCUCCACUCUUCCCCUGGCCGCGUCUCCUGCACCCUCCGUGCUCUAGUGCAGAAUGCUUCCCAGCAGGGCUUAAACUCAUCGAGUGUAUCACCUGCCUCUGGCCACUCCUGUCUGGCCACCCCUGCUUCCCAUCACUGCUGGGAACCACAGAAUCUCUGAGGCUGGAAAACACCUGUGAGAACAUUGAGUGCAGCCUUGGAAUGAAGCUGUGGCUGAGUUCUCCAAGGGAGCCUGUGGCCCCUUGGAGAACUCAGCCAGAUUGCUGAAAUAAAGAAGCCAAGGCAGGGAGUUGCUCAUGCUGGGAAGAAAACAAAGGCUGAGAGUGGAGCAGCCCGGGCAGGGAUAAGAAGGAAUUCAUUUGCAGUUGUUUCAUGCAGCCUCAGACAAGCACGAAAUCAGCCCCCGGUUACCACAGAGCCUCUGGCAGCGUUCAGAGAAUGCCCUUGGCACGUGGUCCCCGACCCAGGGAGAAGGGGACUCUCUGGGACACUCCUGCUGUGGUGACAGCAUUCCCAGGGGAUCAGAUCACACCUUGCAUCCCGGAGGAAUGUCCACCCCAGCAGCACAGGGAGGGCUGGCCCUCUCCAGGCCUGUCCCAAACCUCGGCCAAAUCCACGAUCCAACCACAGCCCUCCAGCACCAAAGUGCCUCUGGUAGCACCCCCCUGACUCCGUGGGGAACAACACAGUUUCCAAGACUACAAAAAGCAAGGAGUUGGACAGAAAAAUGACUUUUUCCUCUAUUUUAUUACCGAGAACAAGGAAAACAUCCCAAACGGCCUGAACAGGAACAAGUCUGCCUAAAUUCUCUGUGAAUGAGAUGAAAUCCCAUCGUGUCAGCUGUUUCCAAUCCUAGAAAAUAAUCUGUUGGAAAGGAACAGUUUCAGGCAUGCUGAGCACAGGGCAGGGCUGGGGGAGCAGCAAUUAGUGCCAGUGGAAGUGGUUCUCCAUUAAAAAAAGCCGAUGACAAGAGUUCUUAGAUCAAAAGAAGCCUUUCCACAGGACAUUUCUGUGCUUGGGCAGAAAUGUUAAUCAAUCAGGCUGAGAGGAGCUGCAGCAAAAAUUGGUUUGGUACAAGUCUGUGAGUUGGAUUUGGCUCGGAGGACACAGGAUGUUAAACACCCAUUGCUCUUCUAAUGAAAUCACCUCUGAGAAAGUGAGGGAGCUUCUCCACAAAUGGGAUUUCAGGAUUUUUCCCCAGGUAAUGGAUGGCAAAGCAUAAACUCUGCUUUGAAAAUGGAGCAAUUUGUUCAACCACGGCUGCUCAUGACUGGUUUGGAAAAUCAAAAUAAUGAACUGUGCUGUGGACAACGUGGCCUUGAAGCGCCUGAUUGCACCAGAGGUUUGGUGGCUCGUGUCUCUGUGCAGCCUCCCACCUCUCCUUGGAUCCACCUGCCCUCACAGGCACCUCUAGGACAGAGAUCUCAGCAGGACAUCUGGGUCUGGGGAGCCUUCUGCUCCCGGGAGCAGCUCAUCCCCCAGAGAUGGUCCAUCCCUGCCCAGCAUUUCCAUCUCACUGUCCCUGCAGAUGCAGCAUUCCUGUGCAGGGAGGCAGUGCUGGGGCUGACCAGGAGCUGGCCUCGGCUUUGUCCUCGAUCUCCUCAAGCUUUUCAGCCUCCUUUGGGGCAGCUACAAGUUGCUCCAGGUCAGGUACUCAAGGUUCCCACAUGCUGGAUCACCACAUGGAAAACCCCACCAUAGCAGAGGAAAACAGCUGGCAGGAAAUGCUGUGGCUCCAGUUUGGAUCUGUGGCUCAUUUAGAAUCAUCCCCAGGCAGGACCCCAGAGCUGGAGCUGCACGAGCAGAGAUCAGCCCCAGGUCCAGCAUCUCACCCCUGCCCACAGCCCACCAAGGAGGGUCCCCAAGAGUGCCACUGGAAAAGUCCCCAGGCCAAUCAUGCUGUGUUUGUUGGGAAAACCAAACAGCCACCUCAUGGUGGGUCCCUCUUGCUGGAUCUUCUCCAGUGCCACACUGGGAGCACUGGGUUUUCUCCUGCUUUGCCACCCAGCACUGUCACUGCACCAGCUGGGGGGAGUCCUGACCACAGGGCUGGGCACAGGCUGGAGAAAUUAGAGAAAAUUCCUGCCAGAAUGAAGAAUUUUCCCUUUUUCCCCUCCAAUUUACCAAGGAAGAUGCAGCAAGAGGGGGGAUGAAGGAGGAAAUGCCAAGUGCCAAGCUAGAAAAUAACAGAGAACCCAACAUUUCGGUCUCUUCUCCAUGGGAGAGUCUCGUGGCUGAUGUCUCUACAUUGGCCAACAAGCAAACCAAGACAAGACAGCCCUGUGGUGUCACCCUGGGCCACCACCUGCAUCCUCCUGUCCUCUGAGGGCGUUUCUGCUCCCACCUAUUGGACUGGAGACAAACCUGCCCCAGGAAAGCCCUUUCAGAGAUGCCUUGAGGCAGAAGACACCACAGCUCCAACUUGGGUAAGAAAUCUCCUGAUUUUGCUCAUGAAGUACCUGGAGAUGGGGUAACAUCUCCAGGAACUUAAUGAGCUAAAUCAGAAUUCCUGUUUCCACCAUUCCAAACCCAACCUUGGUACCACAUUGCCCCGUUCCCCCACAGCAAAACCCCCAGGGAGCACACCCAGCCCCCAAAACCCACUUAAGGGGCUUGGGGUGGAUCGAGCAGCACAGCCCACACCCAACCACCUUCACCAGCCUUUCCCACCCACACCCACAGCCCCAGCAUCCCAGCAGGAAGGGACUGGGGGUCCCAGCCACCACCCUCCUCCUGGAGCCAUCCCAUGGCCAGCCCCAGCUCCCGCUCUCUACCUGCCGCCUUUUUUCUUUUUUUUUUUUUUUUUAUUAUUAUUAUCAUUAUUUUUGCAAGGAAAACGGGUUGCCCUGGAGCUGGGUCUCCAUGGAAACUUGGGUUUUUCAGACACUCAAUGGAGAAGGCUGGCACGGAGAGGCUUGUGCAGGAAUACUGAUUCAGCCCCAGCGUCUGUAACACUGACUGCAUUUCAAUCCCGCUCCGCUACCCGGAGAGCUAAAAAUACCCCGCGAGCUGCCGCCUCCUGAACUCGAGUAAACAGCUUAAAGCAACACGCUGCUGCCAGAGCAGAAAUUCCAUGAAUCAGCUAAAAGAAAAGGGAUUGGGGGAGGAAACAGUGGGGUCUCAGCCCUGAAGGAGCACCAGCUUGGUGGGGAAGAGCAAAUCCCCACUCCAGGGAUGCAGAGGGAGCUGCUGAAGGCAGCAGACGGGUCCUUGGGGCUUUGUUGCACCUCUCCAAGAUGCCCUUUUCCAGUGUAAAAGGAGGAAAACAAGGUUUUCCCUGGUCCCCAGCUGGCUGGGAGGAGCCCUGUGUUCCCUGCCAUGCCAAGCUCAGCGCGUGGCACUGACAUGGGCUGGGAAGGAGCCAGCUGUCCCCACCAAGGGGGCUGGGGACAAUUGAAGGAGGGGUAACCUUGCUGCCACACUGGCAGCAUGUUUUUCCUU